UGUUGGGAGGCUGGCAUCUCGCGCGUCAUCUUGCAGUGUGUCAGUCACGGGAUCUUGUGCCGCCCGUGCUGCUUGGCCAGCAGCAGCAGCCGGCCCCAUUGUGCUGCUAUGAGUGCCCCCACACCCAGGAGGAGUAGCGGCAGCAGCAGCAGCAGCAGAGGGUGGAGAGGAACCCCCUCUUGGUAGCAUGAGGGGACCCCCACCACCGCCACCACACACCUAUCCUGGAGCCAACACGCGCACGUGGUAAGCGGGCGUGGGCGGGAUAUGAGCGUCCGUGGGCGUCCCUCCGGUCUCUCGUCGCUCUGCUCCCAGAGUUCAGUGAGCGGCAUGGGCUGUGGUGUGGGCGGCCCCGCGGGCGCCCACCUGCUGGGGUCCACCUGCAGCUCCAGCAGCGCAUCGCGGGCGGGGUCAGCGGGGUCCCUGGUGGGUGUGGGCGUGCCUUCCCUAGAGGGCGAGGUGGGGUGUCCUGACUGUGCCGCCCUCUACCCCAUCACUGACGACGCUCUCCUCCACAACCUUCACUCCAGAUACAAGAGAGACCAGAUCUACACAUACGUGGGGACGGGUCUGGUGUCCGUCAACCCCUACAGAAGACUGGCGCUCUACACCCCUGAGGUUAUCCACGCCUACCACACCACCUGUGUAUUCCACCUGCCUCCACACAUGUGAGUAUUGCCUCCUCCAGCCCCCCACACAUGUGAAUAUUGCCCCUCCUGCCCUCACACACGUGCCAUCUGCUGACACACAUGGAGGACCUGAACAAUGUGAGGUCUUGAGGCCUCACUUUAUGACAACCAUUCAGCUUUGAGGGCCACUGGACUGAGCAGUCUUGAAUGGCGGCUCUUCCCUGUCUCUCUUCCCGUGUUUAUCUGUCGUAAU